UACGUAGGUGGCAAGCGUUGUCCGGAUUUACUGGGCGUAAAGGGCUCGUAGGUGGCCAACUAAGUCAGACGUGAAAUCCCUCAGCUUAACUGGGGAACUGCAUCUGAUACUGGAUGGCUUGAGUUUGGGAGAGGGAUGCGGAAUUCCAGGUGUAGCGGUGAAAUGCGUAGAUAUCUGGAGGAACACCGGUGGCGAAGGCGGCAUCCUGGACCAACACUGACACUGAGGAGCGAAAGCCAGGGGAGCAAACGGG
rnacentral:rRNA from 1 species